rnacentral:rRNA from 1 species
GGGUCAGUAGGUUGGUCGUGCCACCGGUACGUACUGGUCUCACUGAUUCCUCCUUCCUGAAGAACCGUAAUGCCAUUAAUUUGGUGUUGCGGGGAAAGAGGACUGUUACUUUGAAAAAAUUAGAGUGUUUAAAGCAAGCUAACGCUUGAAUACAUUAGCAUGGAAUAAUGAAAUAGGACGAUCGAUCCUAUUUUGUUGGUCUCUAGGAUUGACGUA